rnacentral:lncRNA from 7 species
GGUAAGAAAAUACCAGGUUUCUCAUUAUAAUCAGACUUCAUCAAGGUAACAGAUUUCAGUGCAUACAUUUGAAAAGAACUGUUUUAAAGGAUGAAGCACCGGAAGAGUAAGAUUAGAUAACAAAUCUGGCAGUGCCUUAAGAACUCAUUAUGAACUGCAGCUGCUUCUAUCAAGCCAGAUGUUGAUGCAUCAUUUUCAUGAAAAACAAGGUCAAAUAUUGCACUAAUUUUGUAUUUUUCAUUGUCUUCUUUUUAAACAGCAAAUAUUAAAAAAAAAUGGUUAUUUACAUUAACUAUAUUACAUAUUAAAAUGUAUGAAGCCCAUGACAAUUCCUCUUCACUUAGUGCAGCACAGGCAAGCCAAAAGUUUGGACACCUAUGCCUUAAAUGCUCAUGGAUGUUCCUUUGGGUUUGCUUCACGUGCAUUUUUUGUUGCAUGUUUGUCUGUUUUUAGCUGCAAUUGCUAGUUCUGAAACUGAAUUUAACAUUGUAUUGUCCAUUGUGGACUUCACUAGAUUCCCUUCCAAACCUGAAAGUGAAGGACUGUUUGCUGCCUGUGAGACUUGUCAGGAUUGUUUGUAAACAAAGCAAAAUUUUAAGGCUUCAGAUGGGUGGCUAGAAUUUAGAUGAAGGAUUUAGCUGUGACAUUAGGUGCUACAUCUUGUCAGUAUUACAUUAUUCAUCAUUAUCAUAAAAACUAGUUAAGUUUUGGGUCUGAACAAUGCUGUAUACCUGGUAUUUCCCUUUCUUUUUGCACGUUUCUUGAAUGACUAGUAAGGAGGUAUGGCAAAUUCUGCUGUCAGGGCUUUCUAAUAAAAUCAAUAUAAAGUACAUAAACAUCAUCUCUAUUUUACAGAUGCUAUGUACAGUGCUUUUGUGUAUUUUCUUGUUUUUUUGUCUAUUACUAUUACUUUAUUUUAAUUAAUUGAUUAGUUUUCCUUCUGUAGUGUUAGAGAAAGAACCAUACUUUGUUUUUUAUUACUUUUUUAAAUGACUUGUUCUGUGCUAAGGCUGUGAUAAGUGGGUAGUGCAGAUUCUACAGAAUGUAUUUGCUAUUGAAUAAAAAGAUCUACCUUGUGUUGUAGAUAUAACUAGAAUGUAAUUUACAUUAUACAUAAAUCAUCCUGAUAUAGCCCUUCGUAUUUUAAUAAAACCUUUGAUAAAUG